CUUAGAAGCAGCCAUCAUUUAAAGAAAGCGUAAUAGCUCACUGGUCGAGUCGGCCUGCGCGGAAGAUGUAACGGGGCUAAACCAUGCACCGAAGCUGCGGCAGCGACACUAUGUGUUGUUGGGUAGGGGAGCGUUCUGUAAGCCUGUGAAGGUGGCCUGUGAGGGUUGCUGGAGGUAUCAGAAGUGCGAAUGCUGACAUAAGUAACGAUAAAGCGGGUGAAAAGCCCGCUCGCCGGAAGACCAAGGGUUCCUGUCCAACGUUAAUCGGGGCAG
rnacentral:rRNA from 1 species